CGAUGGGCACAAGGGAGGCAACUGCGUACGUCUCAUUUAUUACUGAAAAAUUCCUGCGCGAAAUCUCGUUCAUAAAAAUAGUGCCGAUAGGGGGUCGGAAUUACGUCGUUUUUAAGGUGGUUUUCGAUUGGAUAUGGUUAAAAUAACCACUUAUCAUAUAAGUUAAUACAUUUAUGUUCGCGGGCAAAGCACUUUCGUUUCCACACAGUUGCGUAGAAGAUUAAAAGAAAACCUCAGAAAAUUUCCGAGAUCGAGAAAAAUAGGUAAGAUACAUUGCCCAGUAGAAAAAUUGCUUUUAUUUUGUAGGUUAAUCAUUCUCCUUUCCAUUCAUGCCACUAAUUGCUUUGCAAAAUGCCGUGAUUCUGCUGGUUGUUGCUAAUGUAUGGACCGGUUUCAUGAAUGGCAAGAUGGCCGCCGUUGUUGACAAUUCAUACGACGUUAAUAUCAAUUGUUCUUUUUUUCCUCUGUAAAGUUGCCAAAAAAUGUGUUGUACGUGCUAAACAUCAUUGAAGGAUAUAUUUAUGCCGACAUUAUAUCGUAAUGACAUAUGUCUGAUACUAAUAAGUCAGAGUCUCAGGAUUGGGAAGAGUUUGACUCGGAGUCUGACAGUGAACGUUCGGAGCCUGACAGUGAGCGUGUAUCACCGCAGCCAGGUCAAUUUAAACAAGACCGGGCUGCAAUAGCUGAAAAGUUGAAGCUUCCGCGUCAGAUUACCGCAAGAAGCUGCCGUUUGUGAAUGCGGCCCCGAUAGAGGAGAUUGAGGCAAAGAAGCUGAAGGCAGCGGGAGGAAAAGAAAAGAAAUCAGGAAGAAAUCGCCAUAGGCGAUAACUGAAAAUAAGAUUUUUUAAACCAUUGGAUAGGUUUGUUAGUCACCUAUCUUAGGAAAAAUACUUACAGAUCCAUUAAAGUUCAAAUAACUAGUGUUAGGUCUUAUUUAAAUAAGAAGAAUUUUGGUUUUUGAACCUAUUUAAUGAAGCAAAUGAUUUUACUUUUGUUAAACAUGUGUGACAGUGAACUAUUGUCUUCAUGUUAACCUUAUUUAAGUAUUGGCUGUUGUUCUUGUGGUGUAUUUAUAAUUUGAGGACUUAUUUUACCUAAUGGACAAUUUAUUUUAAUUGAGUGAACAACAUAUAAAACUUGUCAAAACUAUUGAAAGCCCCCAUAAGAAUUUCACCGUUUUGUAGUGACCACUAUGUCUGCUCAUGACACUGUCGGUCUGACAUGUGAGAGUGCAGUUGAAGUAAAUUGAUUCAUCAAUCGUCAUUUAUGAAAAAUUUCAAUCUUUGGGAUUAGUUUUUGCCUAUAUGCUACCUUUGACUGACAAAAAACCCACAUCAACAAUGUUUUUUUGUUUUUUUAUUUGAACAACUCGUCAUCGUGAUUGGGAGGCAUGUGUCAUUUUAAUUCAUCAUUAUGUAAUGUCUGGUAAUUGGACAUUUCACAAGUAUUUAUAUAUUGUGUAUGCACAACAAAUAUAAAUUGUGUCAACAAAUUAUGUGUUAGUUCCACAUUAGUUAUCAUUGAAAAUAAAACCUUAAAAAAGCUGCAGGAUUG